GUGAUACUAGACAAACACUUUUUAAAGCUUAUCCCAGCAGCUUCAGCAAAUUAACAACAUAUCUCUUAAAACUUUCAAGGAAUAGGAAAAUAUGAUGAAUUGAAGACCUGAAUUUGGUAAAAGAAUCAAAUGGAACAGAAACUGAAAAAGAAAUGGCAGCAUCUUCGUACUUAGGAGUUAUAAAUAUGAAAGAAUGAGGGUAAAGCAUAUUAACAAUCAUUAAAGAAAGCAGUACCUGGAUGGUGUUCAUCUGUUCUUCAAUAGGUGCAAGUG
rnacentral:misc_RNA from 1 species